UCAAUGAUCCCUCCCUGUGUGUGUAAUCUGUGUGAUUCCCUUUGUCAGUUCGUCUUGUUCCAUAUCGGUUGUAUGAACCUGAUGUUUCUCUGUGAAUUGAUUAUUUGGACUUUGAUAUCUUUAUUUUUUGGACUCUGCUCAAGUAACUUUUUCUGAAUUAAACAACAUUUUUGUUUUUCACCUGGGACCUGUCUCCUGCAAUUGGAUCUACCUGCUCACCACACUCUGAUGGGGGUUAUCAACUUAACGGUUGAACCUAGAAUAACUCUGGCAGAAAGUUUGGCAGAGCCGUGUCCUGUCGUCUCCAGCCCUCACACCUGAAUGGUAACCUGAUGGUAACCCACCCCAGACCAGAUGAAACUCAUUAUCAACCCUCCCAUCCAACUCCUGGGAUGAUAAUUAUAAAAAUGAAUAAAAAAGGAACAUACUUGCAGAUGAGAAUACAAGUCUCAAUGGAUGAAAACAGUCCAAUUAAAAAGAUGUUGUGUCAGUGCCACACAUACGUCACAACCUUGUCCGCCUCUUCCUCAUCCAUCUUCGGUCUCUGCCUACAGUCACCUGGAGGUGGCAUUGUUAAGUUUCAGCCACCAGCCUCCCCAAUGUAUAGUGUCAAUGAAACAGUGAAGAGCAUCUAAUGCAAAUCAUGGCUUUUAAAAAAAAAAACAGCUGGAUAGAUUCCACUCCACAUGUUGAGCAUUCUAACAAGAGGAAAUGAGAAUCAUAUAGGUGCUUUCAGGCUUCUGACCCUGCCAGGCAUAUAAACCACGUUUUAAAACUCUGACUUUAUUUCCACAUCAUGUUGGGGGCAUUCCGUGGCGUUUAUGUUAAGUGUAACCACUUAGAGAGACAGGAGAUCCAGGAGGAAUGGUUACCACUGUCACUAUUCUGUAAGCCUUAGCCUGCAUGAAUGCUCCUUUCAGCAGGGAGGACACACCAGAGUCUUGUUCACACUUUUAUGCUUCGCCGAGCUCAUUGAGAUGUUUGUACUGUUCUGUCAUCCUCACUCAGCCGGCUUACGACAAAGGCUAAGCUUUGGAUAGGGCCACAUUACAGGUUUCUUUACCCUAAUUAAACAAGAUAUUUCUGAGCAGAAUUGAAGUGCAAAAGUUAAUGCCACGUUUGUUGAUAUUCCAAAGUAGCAGAGGCAUCAUUCUCACCCCCUGAGCAUUCAGUCCCUGCAGCUAGAUCUCCU